rnacentral:lncRNA from 1 species
CAAAUUCCCAUCCUGUAUCACCUUGCGGGAUGAGGCCCCACAGUCCUUGCUUUUAGAGAACAUUUGAUCCAAAGGGUAAACUGGUGGCUAACCCAUUAUCAAUGUUGUCUCUGCUCAGGUUAGGCAACAAGAAAGAAAGUAAAGACCCAGAUGGCCUGGAGUGGGGCAGGAGGGAGAAGGUGGAAAGCCUGCCCAGAAGAAUUGAUCCUUUAUCACCAAACACAGCCCCUGCAUCCACAUGCUCACUGACAGCUACUAUUGAGAAUGCUGUCAGGUAACCUCAUAACGACUCCUUGGGGAUGCUAAAGAAUCCUAUUCCAGGAAAAUUGUGGAUAUUACUAUCAAAGUUGUUCUCCACACUUGGGAAGCUAUGCAUGUUUGAAGACCCAGCAAAAGAAUGCUGUGGAGAGUAAGUGAUUAAAUUUGCUUACAAAAUAAAGACAGG